rnacentral:rRNA from 1 species
GACGAACGCUGGCGGCGUGCUUAACACAUGCAAGUCGAACGGUAAGGCACUUCGGGGUACACGAGUGGCGAACGGGUGAGUAACACGUGGGUGAUCUGCCCUGCACUUCGGGAUAAGCCUGGGAAACUGGGUCUAAUACCGGAUAGGACUCCGGACUGCAUGGUCUGGGGUGGAAAGCUUUUGCGGUGUGGGAUGGGCCCGCGGCCUAUCAGCUUGUUGGUGGGGUGAUGGCCUACCAAGGCGACGACGGGUAGCCGGCCUGAGAGGGUGACCGGCCACACUGGGACUGAGAUGCGGCCCAGACUCCUACGGGAGGCAGCAGUGGGGAAUAUUGCACAAUGGGCGCAAGCCUGAUGCAGCGACGCCGCGUGAGGGAUGACGGCCUUCGGGUUGUAAACCUCUUUCAGCAUCGACGAAGCGAAAGUGACGGUAGGUGCAGAAGAAGGACUGGCCAACUACGUGCCAGCAGCCGCGGUAA